UGCUUCAUGUGCGCUAGCAGAAGACGCAAGU
rnacentral:piRNA from 1 species